rnacentral:rRNA from 1 species
UACGGAGGAUGCGAGCGUUAUCCCGAUUUAUUGGGUUUAAAGGGUGCGCAGGCGGCGUGUCAAGUCAGCGGUAAAAUGUCGGGGCUCAACCCCGGCCGGCCGUUGAAACUGGCGUGCUCGAGUUGGAGAGAAGUAUGCGGAAUUCGUGGUGUAGCGGUGAAAUGCAUAGAUAUCACGAAGAACCCCGAUUGCGAAGGCAGCAUACCGGCUCCACACUGACGCUGAGGCACGAAAGCGUGGGUAUCGAACAGG